rnacentral:tRNA from 1 species
GUUUUAAUAAUUUAAUAAAAAUAUUGAUCUUGUAAAUCAGAAAUAAGUUAGCCUUUUAAAACU